CGUCUGCACCGGGACUGCUAUUUUCACACAACACCCGCCAGGGUGGGGGCCACUGUAUUAUGUCUCGUCCUCAUUUGUUAUUAUUACUCAAUGUACUUUGCUCGAGGCCACUGUGACCCGAACUAUCUUAUAGUUAUGGCUUAAGCUAAAUAAGCAUACACCAAAACACACUUGGUCUCUUAUGGAAACCUUUUACAUUCUUAUUAUAUUUAUCUGCAAAUAGUAAGAACAUUAUUCUACAAGAGGAUCAAAAAAAGCAUGAUG